rnacentral:rRNA from 1 species
AUUGAACGCUGGCGGCAUGCCUUACACAUGCAAGUCGAACGGCAGCACGGGAGCAAUCCUGGUGGCGAGUGGCGAACGGGUGAGUAAUAUAUCGGAACGUGCCCAGUAGUGGGGGAUAACUGCUCGAAAGAGCAGCUAAUACCGCAUACGACCUGAGGGUGAAAGGGGGGGAUCGCAAGACCUCUCGCUCUUGGAGCGGCCGAGAUGAGAUUAGCUAGUUGGUGGGGUAAAGGCCUACCAAGGCAACGAUCUGUAGUUGGUCUGAGAGGACGACCAGCCACACUGGGACUGAGACACGGCCCAGACUCCUACGGGAGGCAGCAGUGGGGAAUUUUGGACAAUGGGCGCAAGCCUGAUCCAGCAAUGCCGCGUGCAGGAAGAAGGCCUUCGGGUUGUAAACUGCUUUUGUCAGGGAAGAAAUCCUCUAGGUUAAUACCCUUGGGGGGAUGACGGCACCUGAAGAAUAAGCACCGGCUAACUACGUGCCAGCCGCCGCCGUAACAC